CCGGGGAGCCGGGCAGCCGCGUGCCUUUGGUGCGAGGAAAGUCCGGGCUCCACGAGACGAGGGUGGCGGGUAACGCCCGCCGUGGGAAACCACAGGGAAAGUGCCACAGAGAGAAGACCGCCGAUGAUCCUUUCAGGAUACAGGCAAGGGUGAAAGGGUGCGGCAAGAGCGCACCGGGGUUCUGGCAACAGCGCCCGUCAUGGCAAACCCCACCCGGAGCAAGACCGCAUAGGGGUCUCGCGCCAUUAGCUGGCAGGAGCGUUUCGCUCCGAGAGACUCGGGUUGGUUGCUGGAGCGCGUGGAGCAAUCCACCGCCUAGAUGAAUGGCUGCCCCCGCAGCGCUGGUCGAGAGAUACCGGUUGCGGGACAGAACCCGGCUUACAGGCUCCCCGGCACG
rnacentral:RNase_P_RNA from 3 species